ensembl:lncRNA
CUUAAUUCUCUCUAAUCUGCACGGGGACAUGCCUGCAUAGCACAGGGACCUCUGGUUCACGUCAGCAAGGACCCAGGGGCCGGUCAGAGCACUGGGGCCGAUUCCUGGCUGUGAGCAGCAGCCUUUCCACUACAGCAUCAGCUCCGUGAGAGCGGGAGCAGCUCCGAAUCGAUCCCAGCUGCCAGUGGUCAAAAAGCAGUCGAGCAAAAGGGAGGUUUGUAGCCAGAGCGUGCAGUGUGUGGAUGGGGGGAUGCACACGUGGAUGGGGGGAUGUAUAUAUGGAUGAGGAGAUGCACACGUGGAUGGGGAGAUGCACACAAGGACAUGGACACGUGGAUGGGGAGAUGCAUACAUGGAUGGGGAGAUGCGUACAUGGAUGGGGAGAUGUAUAUAUGGAUGAGGAGAUGCAUACAUGGAUGGGGAGAUGUAUAUAUGGAUGGGGAGAUGUAUAUAUGGAUGGGGAGAUGCAUACUUGGAUGGGGAGAUGCACAUGAGGAGAUGGACACAUGGAUGGAGAGAUGCACACAUGGAGGCAGAGAUGCACACGAGGAGAUGCACAUGUAGAUGGGGAGAUGCAUAUAUGGAUGAGGAGAUGCAUACAUAGAUGGGGAGCUGCACACGUGGAUGGAGAGAUGCCCACAAAGCACCACCACUGCUGCAGUCUGUGCCCACGGCGUGGGGCAGGAAAUGUUGCACCUGGGAAAGGUGGGCAUGGUUCCUGCUGCAAAGGAAGGGAGGACUUUUGGGGGGUAGGGGAGCUCAGUGGGGGUCGGGAGGAGCUGCACCUCCAGGCACAGCCCGUGUUCAGGCCGCCACGUGGGGUGGGAAGGCAGAGAUGCAGACGACCCAGCGCUCAGAUGAAGAGGAUGGUGGGAGGAAGGACUGCAGUUCCCCAUCCUACCCGACUCCCCGGGGUGGUGAUGGUGGGGAGGAGCCCGAUGUGACCCCGCAGCCCCCGGGGGUGGCUGCCAGCAGCACAGUGCCUGCAGACUGCUGGCCUUUAGCUGAUGUUCCUCCCUGCUGGUUGGGCUGUGGGGCUGUUUAAAUAUAGAUUUUAAUAGAAAAAAAAAAACAAAAACGGGGUUAAUUUCAAAAGUGACAGCUCGCUUUGGCAGCAAACCUUUGCUUUCUGGCCCAAAGCCCCAACGCCUGCACUCCCGGGACCCCCGGGCCGUGUUCCAGGUCCCCAUCUCUGCCCUAAACCUUUGGAUACCGGGGGGCUUCAGGGGUGUCACAGUGGGAAAAGGGACAGAACAUCCCAGGAGGGACGGGGACGCGCGGGGACGGCGCGGUGCUGACGGAUGGGGCUGAGGUCGGGGCCGGGGGGGGUACGGAGGUGGGAGCUUUGGG